UACUGCGGAGCGCAGAGAUGGUGCCCCUUUUUGUCGGUAUACAGGUGGUGCAUGGCUGUCGUCAGCUCGUGUCGUGAGAUGUUGGGUUAAGUCCCGCAACGAGCGCAACCCUCGUCCUAUGUUGCCAGCACGUUAUGGUGGGGACUCAUAGGAGACUGCCGGGGUCAACUCGGAGGAAGGUGGGGAUGACGUCAAGUCAUCAUGCCCCUUAUGUCCAGGGCUUCACGCAUGCUACAAUGGCCGGUACAAAGGGCUGCGAUGCUGUAAGGCGGAGCGAAUCCCAAAAAGCCGGUCUCAGUUCGGAUUGGGGUCUGCAACUCGACCCCAUGAAGUCGGAGUCGCUAGUAAUCGCAGAUCAGCAACGCUGCGGUGAAUACGUUCCCGGGCCUGUAACACACCGA
rnacentral:rRNA from 1 species